GAUGAACGCUGGCGGCGUGCCUAAUACAUGCGAGUCGAGCGAUCAGAUGAGGAGCUUGCUCCUCUGACGUUAGCGGCGGACGGGUGAGUAACACGUGGAUAACCUACCUAUAAGACUGGGAUAACUUCGGGAAACCGGAGCUAAUACCGGAUAAUAUAUUGAACCGCAUGGUUCAAUAGUGAAAGACGGUUUUGCUGUCACUUAUAGAUGGAUCCGCGCCGCAUUAGCUAGUUGGUAAGGUAACGGCUUACCAAGGCAACGAUGCGUAGCCGACCUGAGAGGGUGAUCGGCCACACUGGAACUGAGACACGGUCCAGACUCCUACGGGAGGCAGCAGUAGGGAAUCUUCCGCAAUGGGCGAAAGCCUGACGGAGCAACGCCGCGUGAGUGAUGAAGGUCUUCGGAUCGUAAAACUCUGUUAUUAGGGAAGAACAAAUGUGUAAGUAACUAUGCACGUCUUGACGGUACCUAAUCAGAAAGCCACGGCUAACUACGU
rnacentral:rRNA from 1 species